ACGCGAGGCUUCCGCGUAAAAGCAAGCAGAGGAGAGAGGGUGUAGCUAUCAAAUCAAACAGAACAGACCUGGACACUGGAUCAUCUUAUCAGCUAAAGAAAUGCACAUCCUUUCUCAUCGUCUCCCUCUGCAAAAUCCCAGAUGUCCUCUACGCUUCUCAGAGGACUCCCUCAGAACCAGUUGCUUUACUUCUAUCCUCCCUCCCGUCUCUGCGAAGACUUUCAAGGAUCUCUCGGUGAAAUGCCGCCGCUCAGAAUACUUCGAACAGCAGAGGUUCACGAGACCUUCAGAAGACUCCUCCACUUCACAGUCUCCAGGAGCUUUGCCUCCGAGGGUUUUCGUUGGUCAUUCUAUAUACAAGGGGAAGGCAGCUCUAACAGUAGAGCCAAAAGCUCCAGAGUUCAUUCCUUUAGAUUCAGGAGCAUUUAAGUUGUCGAAAGAGGGUUUUGUGCUUCUCCAGUUUGCUCCUGCUGUUGGGGUUCGACAAUAUGAUUGGAGCCGAAAGCAAGUAUUCUCAUUAUCAGUGACUGAAAUUGGGACACUAAUAAACCUUGGUGCAAGGGAAUCAUGUGAAUUUUUUCAUGACCCAUUUAAAGGAAAAAGCGAAGAAGGAAAAGUUAGGAAGCUUUUGAAAGCUGAGCCCCUUCCAGAUGGUUCUGGCCAUUUCUUUAAUCUCAGUGUCCAGAAUAAGCUCUCUAACAUUGAUGAGAGCAUUUAUAUUCCUAUUACCAAAGCGGAGUUUACAGUUCUAAUCUCAGCCUUCAAUUUUAUCUUGCCAUACCUUAUUGGUUGGCAUGCUUUUGCUGAUUCCACUAAACCAAAUGAUCCUGGUCGUGUCAGCAAUGCCAAUCUUAAAUAUGGGGCUGACUUGGAGUGGAGCAGAUAGUAUUCCUCAUUCUCUUUAGAAGACAGAAAGAAAGGAACUGUAGGAGACCUUGGAAUUCCGAUGCGGUCGUCAAUUUCCUCAUAAAUCAAUUUAUCCCAGUCCACUCCUGGAGAAAUCCUCCCAGAAGUUUUGGUAACAGCAGCUAGCUAUUAGCAAAGAAUUUGGGAUUCUACACUAUGUAGACGUGAAGUAAAGAUGUUGCUCCAAGAAUGGAGAGAUGACGACCAGCUUGUUGACUGUUAGUGAGCAACGGCCGGCUUCACCUGUGGAGGUGUGAGAAUGUACUUCACGGAGCAUGUCAACCCGGUUUCGCUCAUCGUGAAGUAAGUGCAUUCAUUCAGUCUUCACCGUGCCAUCAAGGGUGGGGUGGGGGGUAUCGAGGGCCAAAAUGUAUAUUGUGUGGCAUCUGCAUCCCUAAUCCAUCUGAUUAAUUCACCUGCAAUCCUAUAUGGGAGAUUGGACUGCAGUUUGACAGCAUGAUCAAAGCUCAGUGUUAAGAAUCCAGGUAUCUAAAUACACCAAAGGUUUUUAGAGUACCAUUCUAACGGCUAUUAGUGUUAAGAAUCCAGGCCCCAACAGUAAUGCCCUUAUUGCACCUGCUUAGUACCCGUU